rnacentral:rRNA from 1 species
CAGGGAUUGCCCCAGUAACGGCGAGUGAAGAGGCAAAAGCUCAAAUUUGAAAUCUGGCCACCCUUCUGGGGCGGUCCGAGUUGUAAUUUGCAGAGGAUGCUUUUGGCGAGACACCUUCCGAGUUCCCUGAAGACGGGACGCCACAGAGGGUGAGAGCCCCGUGCGGUCUGGUGUCGAGCCUCUGUAAAGCUCCCUCGAAGAGUCGAGUAGUUUGGGAAUGCUGCUCUAAGCGGGAGGUAAACUCCUUCUAAAGCUAAAUAUCAGCCGGAGACCGAUAGCGCACAAGUAGAGUGAUCGAAAGAUGAAAAGCACUUUGAAAAGAGAGUGAAACAGUACGUGAAAUUGUUGAAAGGGAAGCGUUCGUGGCCAGAACCGGGCCCCGCUGGUUUACCCGCCCCUACGGGACGGCGCACUCCGGCGGGCCCGGGCCAGCAUCGGUUUCGGGCGGGGGAUAAUUACGGGGGGAAAGUAGCUCCCUGGAGUGUUAUAGCCCGCCGUAGCAUGCCCCGCCGGGGACCGAGGUUCUCGCCCAGGCAAGGAUGCUGGCGUAAUGGCCACCAGCGACCCGUCUUGAAACACGGACCAAGGAGUCAUCCUCAUAUGCGAGUGUUCGGGUGCUAAAACCCCUGUAACGCGAAAUAAAAGUGAACGUAGGUGGGAGCCCCUCGCGGGGCGCACCACCGACCGAUCCUGAUGUUCCACGGAUGGAUUUGAGUACGAGCAUAUGGGGUUGGACCCGAAAGAAGAUGAACUAUGCUUGGAUAGGGUGAAGCCAGAGGAAACUCUGGUGGAAGCCCGUAGCGGUUCUGACGUGCAAAUCGAUCGUCAAAUCUGAGUAUGGGGGCGAAAGACUAAUCGAAUCUUCUAGUAGCUGGUUUCCGCCGAAGUUUCCCUCAGGAUAGCAGUGUUGGAGCUUCAGUUUUAUGAGGUAAAGCGAAUGAUUAGGGACUCGGGGGGCUUAAAUUUAACCUUCAUCCAUUCUCAAACUUUAAAUAUGUAAGAAGCCCCCGUUGCUUGGGUGAACGGGGGCGUUAUUAGAA